rnacentral:rRNA from 1 species
GACGAACGCUGGCGGCGUGCCUAAUACAUGCAAGUCGAACGAGAGCGACCGGUGCUUGCACUGGUCAAUCUAGUGGCGAACGGGUGAGUAACACGUGGGUAACCUGCCCAUCAGAGGGGGAUAACAUCCGGAAACGGAUGCUAAAACCGCAUAGGUCUUCGAGCCGCAUGGCUUGAAGAGGAAAAGAGGCGCAAGCUUCUGCUGAUGGAUGGACCCGCGGUGCAUUAGCUAGUUGGUGAGGUAACGGCUCACCAAGGCCGUGAUGCAUAGCCGACCUGAGAGGGUGAUCGGCCACAUUGGGACUGAGACACGGCCCAAACUCCUACGGGAGGCAGCAGUAGGGAAUCUUCCGCAAUGGACGCAAGUCUGACGGAGCAACGCCGCGUGAGUGAAGAAGGUUUUCGGAUCGUAAAACUCUGUUGUUAGAGAAGAACAAGUGCUAGAGUAACUGUUAGCGCCUUGACGGUAUCUAACCAGAAAGCCACGGCUAACUACGUA